rnacentral:rRNA from 1 species
GACAGAGGGGGCAAGCGUUGCUCGGAAUCACUGGGCGUAAAGCGUGCGCAGGCGGUUUUGUAAGUCUGACGUGAAAGCCCCGGGCUUAACCUGGGAAUUGCGUUGGAGACUGCAAGGCUUGAAUCUGGCAGAGGGGGGUAGAAUUCCACGUGUAGCAGUGAAAUGCGUAGAGAUGUGGAGGAACACCGAUGGCGAAGGCAGCCCCCUGGGUCAAGAUUGACGCUCAUGCACGAAAGCGUGGGGAGCAAACAGG